UGAGCAACCUGCCCUUGACUCCGGAAUAACAGCUGGAAACAGCUGCUAAUACCGGAUAUGACCUCCGAUGGCAUCAUCUGGAGGUGGAAAGCUCCGGCGGUCAAGGAUGGGCUCGCGGCCUAUCAGCUUGUUGGUGGGGUAAUGGCUCACCAAGGCUUCGACGGGUAGCCGGCCUGAGAGGGCGACCGGCCACACUGGGACUGAGAUACCGGCCCAGACCUCUACGGGAGG
rnacentral:rRNA from 1 species